AGCCUGCUGGGCGUGGAGCUUCCCGCCCCUGCGCUGGCAGAUCGCCACAGACCACAGACCUUGUGAAGACCGAAGCCUUGGCGCCGGCGCUGCGGGCUCAAAGCUCUUCCGCGAGUAUGACUGUGGCAACCCUGAGGCCGCAGCCGAUAACUUUGAACACAAGGACUCCUGACUGCAUCCCCACUGCAUAAAUUUACAAAUUUCACUUUACCAGGCCCAGACAGUGCGGGCUCGUGGGAGCACCUCUGGACGCCAAACUACCUCUGGAAAGGAGAGAAGUCGAGCUCCAGUCCUUCUAUUCCACCAUCUUAAUCCCCUGUAGCAGUCUUUAAAGUCCUUUUUCUCCUACUGCACUGUGCUGUGUGCAUAACCAGUUUUACCUGAUUGCCUUGGGUGAAGAGUGUGCUUUGACCCUUUUGCUAUCUGCCAGGAUAUGAAGAGCUGACUAAGCAGGUACCACCCUUGUUGCUUCAUUUCUAAGUUAAGCCACUGCUCCUGAGUGCUAAUAAGGCCAAAACUGAAAGGAGUCCAGGAGAUUACAAAGCACAUAACCUUCAUUUUAUAAUGAGUUGUGUUUCACAUGAAUGUGGGUAGGAUGUGCUACAGCAACAUGACAUUUUGAUUUGGCGAAUAUGUCAAUACCGCAGAGUUCCCAGGUCUAAUGAAAGGCUAUGAUGUGGAGUAGGCUGUGGCUGGUGGCUAGGGUACUGUGGUUGCAGAUAUUGAGACUGCAGAUUGGAAACAUAUCCUUUUAUAUUUCCAAGUAAAAUUAAACUUCCUCAAAUAUACCUGUCAAUUAUCAAGAGUUUUCUUUGCUUCAGAGGAGCUCUUUUGAGGAGAGAGAUCAAGUCACGUGGAAAUUUUCUUCCCUCUCUAUAACUGUAAGCUGCCAGUAACCCUUCAGAGCUCUGGGUCUCAGUGAAUCAUCAAUUGAGAGAGAAAGAGGUGCCAGCUGGGGGCAGCCCAUUCUAUAACAUGAGGACCAGAGGAAGAAAGAAAUCCUCCUUCUUCCCUUAGAAGUUCUGAUGCUGGGGAAACCUGAGUGUUCUUUGGAAAUGUUUAAGCUCACCAGCCAAGUUGGAGCAUGCAGAAUGGAAGAAGCAAUAAAGUGACAUGAGCAAGGAGCAGUUUUCUUCUCAUCUUUCCAAACUCAAAUGUGGAUCUAAAUUUUAUAUGGAAAGCUAAACUUAUCCCUGAAGAUUAAA